AACGGUUAAAAACGUUUAUAAGUGAAUAUUAUUUAAGGCAAACUUAGCAGCAGCUCCACAGAGGUGAAUGGCGUCAUUGAAAGGCAACCAAAGUGAAUAAAAUGGGCCGUUACUUUUCAAUAUAAACAUGGAUUUAUAUUGAUUAGGAAAGAGUGGCGCAAACAUUUUGGCUAAUGCAAUGCGGUGCUGUUUUAAUCCUCCUGUCAGGGCCGGGAUUGCUCUUGAUGUGCUGUGAAGAGACCCAGCGACCGCCACCGCCUCACAGGUGGAUGCACCUUUACGGACAGGUGGGGCCUCUGAAAUGCUGCAGUGGCGGUGGUGGCGGCGGCGGCAGCAGCGAGUGACAGCAUAGCACUCAG